rnacentral:rRNA from 1 species
GGUUAAGCGACUAAGCGUACACGGUGGAUGCCUAGGCAAUCAGAGGCGAUGAAGGACGUGCUAAUCUGCGAUAAGCGUCGGUAAGGUGAUAUGAACCGUGAUAACCGACGAUUUCCGAAUGGGGAAACCCAGUGCAAUUCGUUGCACUAUCGUUUGAUGAAUACAUAGUCAAACGAAGCGAACCGGGGGAACUGAAACAUCUCAGUACCCCGAGGAAAAGAAAUCAACCGAGAUUCCCCUAGUAGCGGCGAGCGAACGGGGAGCAGCCCAGAGUCUUAAUCAGCAUUAGCAUCAGGAGAACGGUCUGGAAAGGCCGGCAGUAAAGGGUGAUAGCCCCGUAUCCGAAGGUGUUAGUGUUGUGAACUCGACGAGUAGGGCGGGACACGUGUUAUCCUGUCUGAAUAUGGGGGGACCAUCCUCCAAGGCUAAAUACUCCUGAUUGACCGAUAGUGAACCAGUACCGUGAGGGAAAGGCGAAAAGAACCCCGGCGAGGGGAGUGAAAUAGAACCUGAAACCGUGUACGUACAAGCAGUGGGAGCCCCACCACCAAAGCAUUUUCUGGUGUUGAGGAGAACUUUGAAGUGACAUUCAACACGCGUUGGCGGAGCGUUUUUUGCGACGCCCAACACACAAAACAAGCAGUGAAUGUGCUUUGGGGUGGGGUGACUGCGUACCUUUUGUAUAAUGGGUCAGCGACUUAUAUUCUGUAGCAAGGUUAACCGUAUAGGGGAGCCGUAGGGAAACCGAGUCUUAACUGGGCGAAU